ACGAACGCUGGCGGCGUGCUUAACCCCUGCAAGUCGAACGGAAAGGCCCCUUUGGGGGUACUCGAGUGGCGAACGGGUGAGUAACACGUGAGUAACCUGCCCUUGACUUCGGGAUAACUUCAGGAAACUGGGGCUAAUACCGGAUAGGAAUCCUUGCUGCAUGGUGGGGGUUGGAAAGCUUCGGCGGUUUUGGAUGGACUCGCGGCUUAUCAGCUUGUUGGUGGGGUAGUGGCUUACCAAGGCUUUGACGGGUAGCCGGCCUGAGAGGGCGACCGGCCACAUUGGGACUGAGAUACGGCCCAGACUCCUACGGGAGGCAGCAGUGGGGAAUAUUGCACAAUGGGCGGAAGCCUGAUGCAGCAACGCCGCGUGCGGGAUGACGGCCUUCGGGUUGUAAACCGCUUUCAGCAGGGGCGAAGCUUGUGGUGACGGUACCUGCAGAAGAAGCACCGGCUAACUACGUG
rnacentral:rRNA from 1 species